UUUUUUCAGAGCAAGUUUCCCAUCGUGACGUAGAAAUCCUCUCUCCAACUGAAAAGGAGCAGUUUGCUGAUAAAGGCUUUAGCAUCAAGUUAAAUUGCUUAAUUUUCUGUGGAAAACAUACAACAAAACACUGUGAUGCAAGCUGGCGUGUUAAUGGGAAGGAAAUCAGCCAAAUGGAUGAUUACAAUCAAACCUCCACAAUAGUAAUUCAGGAACCUUCAAUGAAUACUAUCAGCACCGCCACACUGACAAUUGAAAAAGUAUCAGCUGAAGAUUUCCAACGCGAGUUUAAGUGCAUUGGCAAGGGCUUGUACAAAGGAAAUGAUACUAUCUUAACGCUCAAGCAAAGA